UUUCUGUAGAAUAUGAAUUCCUGUCAGUACAAAAACAAAAGGCUGCCUAAAUUAAAAGCAUUUUCCUUUAUAUUACAUGAAUCUAGUGCAAUCUGAAUUUCCACACUACAAAUAUGCUGACAGUUGUACUGAAAAAGGGAAGAAGACUUAAAAAAAAAAAAAGGAACAAAAAUUAAAGACUAUAAAAAUGCAAGUGUUUCUUAUAAUCAAAUACCUGCUACAUGAACAGGAGGUAAUGAUCACAUUUGAAGGGUGUGGAAGGCACUCUUCAUGGAAGGCACUCCCAUCCAUAACAGCUGUUCCCACUCGGAGGGGGAAGGAAUGUAAAAGAAACUGGACACGUUUUGACUGGGAGACGUUUGGAAUGAGAAAACUACGGU